ensembl:lncRNA
AGAUUUUGAAAAUUGAGACAGAUUACAUGACAGGUUUUGUUUUUUUUUCCUCACAUGAUUUUCUUGUUUUACAGGGUACGGACAGAAAUGACCAUUGGAGACAGAGUAACAUGGGCCCUGUGGUGCAGGUGGAGAUGAAGUGGAGUAAAGUGUGAAAAGGGAUCUGGAGGGAGACAAAGAUGUUCACACACAGUGGAAUCGCUGCGGUGCCCAUCACAAAACGAGAAGUGAAUCAGAGAGAAUCACUGCAGAGUAAGUAAAGGAAACCAAUACCCCAUUGGGUGAAGUAAUACAAACAGAGAGCCAGAUUAUAAGGAGGGGAUGAAGUGACUGAGAAUGAGAGAGAGAGAGAGGGAGAAGGAAGAGAUGAAUGAAAGGUAAUUGCAUUAGAAAGUAAAGAAGGCCAGAAGGAAGGAAAUGAUUAGAGGAAAAGAGACUGAUAGCCGAUAGAGAGGGAGUCGGAGAGAUGGACAGAGAGAGAGAAGGGGGGUGGGGUGGGGGUGUUCAUUUACUCCUUUCAUUCAAUACACACUGACACUUCCUCAGUGUCAAUACAGAGAGUGUUUGUGUCUCCUCUAAGCACACUAUCUAGGUAACUUGUCUCUGUUAGUUGUUGUACUGUAUGUCUGAAAGAGUAUUAUACUUCGAAUGUAUUGGUAUCUAUUAGUAUUUUAUUUAGUAUUAUUUUAGUAUUCUUGAAAGUUUCAAGUAUAUAUACACACACACAUAUUAAUGAAACUUCUAUAAAUUAUUUUGCAUAUAAUUCAUUUAGAAGUGAUUUAGCAUGAAUUACUUUGUAGGUGUAUUACUUGUAUAUUAUAAUUAUUAUUUAUAUCUAAAACCCUAAUUUGCUGCAUUUUCUUAAACAAACCAUUUAGAAUCCCC